rnacentral:rRNA from 1 species
UACGAAGGGGGCUAGCGUUGCUCGGAAUCACUGGGCGUAAAGCGCACGUAGGCGGAUUGCUAAGUCAGGGGUGAAAUCCUGGAGCUCAACUCCAGAACUGCCUUUGAUACUGGCGACCUUGAGUCCGGGAGAGGUGAGUGGAAUUCCUGGUGUAGCGGUGAAAUGCGCAGAUAUCAGGAAGAACACCCGUGGCUAAGGCGGCUCUCUAGUACGGUACUGACGCUGAGACGCGAAAGCGUGGGGAGCGAACAGG